UAGCUUUCCUUCUUCCAGUGUGAAAGUAGCUUGGUGAACUGUAUUUUCAGAGUAGCUUCCCCAACACCGACAGUCAGACACACACAUUUUUAUAGGGCCGUUUAGUUCAGAAACUCUGCAGGCUAUCCCUAACCGCUGUCCUAGAAUCAGAGCCAACUUUCACUUUCUCUCUCUUCAAACCACAAUUACUCUGUCUAAGAACGGAAUGUUCCACCAGUGGAAUGGAGUGAGCUCCAAAGGAUCUACAGACCUUGGAAAGUUCUAACUCAGCUCUAGAGAAGGAGAUUGCUGGUCUGAGAAGAGAGUUCCGGCUCUACACAGCCACCCUUGAGCAACAUGAAUCUGCCUGCACCCUCCGGCCCUCGUCUAUACCCGCCAAUAUCCCCUGCUGCCAGAUCCUGUCCCCCUCCGCGUCAUCUAUUGCCCCUGUGACUACCCCUGCACCCGCUGUGUCACCUCAAACCACCCCGGCACCCGCUGUGUCCCCUCAAACUACCCCGGCACCCGCUGUGUCCCCUCAAACUACCCCGGGCUCUCUUCUUGCCCCAGUACCUGGAGGGCAGAGGACUUGUUUACCACUCCCCACUCUCGUCACUGUUCCUUCAACUGCCCAUGUGACUAACCCCUACCCUUUGCUUUCCACUCUAUAUUCCCCAAUAUCUAAUAAUGCCUCUCUGAUUGCCCCAAACAAUAUUUGUUCCUCUCCAAUUACCCCAAAAACUAAUAUUUCCCCUCUAACUACCUCGAUAAAUAAUCUUGCCCAUCCAACUACCCCAAUAACUAAUCUUGCCCCUCCAACUAUCCCUGCUCCUACACUGUCACCCAUCUCCUACCCUCUGACCAUGUACCCUCUGAACUUGUCUACCCCAGCCAUUGAACCCCCAAUAGAAUUGUCCCUCUCCGACAUCCUGGACAGUCCUGAUUGGCUCUGCGACCCUGCAUCACCCACCUGGGGCGAGUUCUAAUGGACCAAUCACACUGUUUGGCGAAUGGUUGAAAGCAGCUGGUGGUCGCCUCUGACCACAGAACAUCAGUACUGAUUUUCUGGCAAUUUUCUGAUGAAUCUCCACAUUGAAUCUCCACUGUCCAUCGACAGACAACCACCCAGGUGAUCUACAGCCAACGUCUGUGAUGACGUGUCUUCCACGGAGUAAGAUUCCUGGCACCCUGUGAAAGACUCAUUUAGGUUUCUGUAGAAAAGAACAGAAAGACACUUAAAAUUGAUGGACUCUGGUGUUUGGUACAUGUAUAUACCAAGCACAUGUACUGGUUGUUCACAUCUUGUGAGGAAUUCUGUAGCUGUUAUGUUGAUUCUCGGUUUGUGUUUUUGAAUAACCGGCCCUGUUCAUUGGUCAUAACAGACUAUUGGCCCUGUUCAUUGGUCAUAACAGACUAUUGGCCCUGUUCAUUGGUCAUAACAGACUAUUGGCCCUGUUCAUUGGUCAUAACAGACUAUUGGAC
ensembl:lncRNA